ACGCUGGCGGCAGGCUUAACACAUGCAAGUCGAACGGUAACAGGGAUUAGCUUGCUAAUCUGCUGACGAGUGGCGGACGGGUGAGUAAUGCUUGGGAAUCUGGCUUAUGGAGGGGGACAACUACGGGAAACUGUAGCUAAUACCGCGUAAAAUCUACGGAUUAAAGGGUGGGACUUUCGAGCCACCUGCCAUAAGAUGAGCCCAAGUGGGAUUAGGUAGUUGGUUAGGUAAAGGCUGACCAAGCCGACGAUCUCUAGCUGGUCUGAGAGGAUGACCAGCCACACUGGAACUGAGACACGGUCCAGACUCCUACGGGAGGCAGCAGUGGGGAAUAUUGCACAAUGGGGGGAACCCUGAUGCAGCCAUGCCGCGUGAAUGAAGAAGGCCUUCGGGUUGUAAAGUUCUUUCGGUGACGAGGAAGGUUGAUAGGUUAAUAGCCUAUCAAAUUGACGUUAAUCACAGAAGAAGCACCGGCUAACUCCGUGCCAGCAGCCGCGGUAAUACGGGGGGUGCGAGCGUUAAUCGGAAUAACUGGGCGUAAAGGGCACGCAGGCGGUGACUUAAGUGAGAUGUGAAAGCCCCGAGCUUAACUUGGGAAUUGCAUUUCAUACUGGGUCGCUAGAGUACUUUAGGGAGGGGUAGAAUUCCACGUGUAGCGGUGAAAUGCGUAGAGAUGUGGAGGAAUACCGAAGGCGAAGGCAGCCCCUUGGGAAUGUACUGACGCUCAUGUGCGAAAGCGUGGGGAGCAAACAGGAUUAGAUACCCUGGUAGUCCACGCUGUAAACGAUGUCGAUUUGGGGAUUGGGCUUUGAGCUUGGUGCCCGUAGCUAACGUGAUAAAUCGACCGCCUGGGGAGUACGGCCGCAAGGUUAAAACUCAAAUGAAUUGACGGGGGCCCGCACAAGCGG
rnacentral:rRNA from 1 species